ACGGGUGAGUAACACGUGGGUAACCUGCCCAUCAGAAGGGGAUAACACUUGGAAACAGGUGCUAAUACCGUAUAACACUAUUUUCCGCAUGGAAGAAAGUUGAAAGGCGCUUUUGCGUCACUGAUGGAUGGACCCGCGGUGCAUUAGCUAGUUGGUGAGGUAACGGCUCACCAAGGCAACGAUGCAUAGCCGACCUGAGGGGGUGAUCGGCCACACUGGGACUGAGACACGGCCCAGACUCCUACGGGAGGCAGCAGUAGGGAAUCUUCGGCAAUGGACGAAAGUCUGACCGAGCAACGCCGCGUGAGUGAAGAAGGUUUUCGGAUCGUAAAACUCUGUUGUUAGAGAAGAACAAGGAUGAGAGUAAAACGUUCAUCCCUUGACGGUAUCUAACCAGAAAGCCACGGCUAACUACGUGCCAGCAGCCGCGGUAAUACGUAGGUGGCAAGCGUUGUCCGGAUUUAUUGGGCGUAAAGCGAGCGCAGGCGGUUUCUUAAGUCUGAUGUGAAAGCCCCCGGCUCAACCGGGGAGGGUCAUUGGAAACUGGGAGACUUGAGUGCAGAAGAGGA
rnacentral:rRNA from 1 species